CGUCCCCCACCCUGUGCCUGUCUGGUGGGAGCGGUGAGCCUGUGAUGGCUGCUGCUGGACGUGGGGGCCCACGCUGCUUACCCAGCCACUUCUAGGAGGGGAAGGUGCAGAGCAGAAGCACAGAUCUUUCUGCUAAAUCAUUCAGACUCCAGCACUCGCUUGGGACGGCACAUCCACAUCCCUGCGGCGGCCCUGCGUUCAGCUCCACUUCUGUGCUCUGCCAACGGCUGCACUGAUAGAAAUGCAUCUGUUUUAAAGCAAAGGUGGCCGUGAGAUAUUUGCUCUGCCUUAGCCCCUCCCAACCCACUGAAAAAAACAGGCAGUUUGUCAUCUGCAAAUGGUGAGCAGCUGCACUCAGCCCGUGGGGACCUCACCCUAAGUUAGAACGUAACAUACGUGUUAUGGCACAGAAAAGCAGGCUGAAGGACACAGACCUUUGGGAAUCUGCUAUUUCUGGUUCUCCCUUUUACAAAGACAGGAGACUUCAUUGAUACACCUCUAUAGACCACAGCUCCGCACCCUGAGGACGAGGCCCUUCCAAACAGACCCAACACCACUCUCACCCUCAAAGGGUUAACUGCUCCUGCUAUGUUAUUGUUGUACCAGAGCUGAGAGUGUGGACUAUCUAACUGUUAAAGCAUUAAUGGGACACGCUGAACUCUUGGUUAAAGUGUGCUCCUCUCAGAGCCCAGAGGGAGCUGGUUAGUGUGAGAGGCUGACAGCAAACACUCACUUCAUGGAGCUGGAAAUGAUGAAGACUCCUUCCGAAGCUCUACUACACAAAGCACGGAUCCUCAGCACUUGUUUUUAAAGCUCCAACACAACCCUUCUUUGAAGCGGCUGCAAUGUUUUAGUGCCUUUUCCCCUUUUGCUUUGCUUUGAAACUUUCUGCAGUUGUGGAAAUCUACGUAACUGAAGGCUACAUUUGUGUUGGCAAUUCUAGUUAAAGGAAAAAAAAAAACGACAGGAGCUCUUCUGCACUUCCAGAGCUAAGUAAACCUGUGUAAGCCCA